GCGGGGAGGCUUUACCAUGCAAGUCGAACGGCAGCACGGACUUCGGUCUGGUGGCGAGUGGCGAACGGGUGAGUAAUGUAUCGGAACGUGCCCAGUAGCGGGGGAUAACUACGCGAAAGCGUAGCUAAUACCGCAUACGCCCUACGGGGGAAAGCAGGGGAUCGCAAGACCUUGCACUAUUGGAGCGGCCGAUAUCGGAUUAGCUAGUUGGUGGGGUAACGGCUCACCAAGGCGACGAUCCGUAGCUGGUUUGAGAGGACGACCAGCCACACUGGGACUGAGACACGGCCCAGACUCCUACGGGAGGCAGCAGUGGGGAAUUUUGGACAAUGGGGGAAACCCUGAUCCAGCCAUCCCGCGUGUGCGAUGAAGGCCUUCGGGUUGUAAAGCACUUUUGGCAGGAAAGAAACGUCGCGGGUUAAUACCCCGCGAAACUGACGGUACCUGCAGAAUAAGCACCGGCUAACUACGUGCCAGCAGCCG
rnacentral:rRNA from 1 species